rnacentral:rRNA from 1 species
UACAGAGGUCCCGAGCGUUGUUCGGAUUCACUGGGUGUAAAGGGUGCGCAGGUGGGUUGGCAAGUUUGAUGUGAAAGCCCCGGGCUUAACCCGGGAAUGGCAUUGAAUACUGCUGAUCUGGAGGAUUGGAGGGGGACUGGAAUUCUUGGUGUAGCAGUGAAAUGCGUAGAUAUCAAGAGGAACACCAGUGGCGAAGGCGAGUCCCUGGACAAUACCUGACACUGAGGCACGAAAGCUAGGGGAGCAAACGGG